CUUGAAAAGACUAUUCUUCCAGUAAAGACACAUUCACAGACUUCAGGAAUUAAAACAUGGAAAUUUAUUUUUGAGGACCACCAUUUCAAGGACCACCAAGAAUGUCUGAAAGACUGUCACAUCCAAGAAGAACCUAAGUAGACAUGAGCACUAAAUAUAAUCUCAUAUCCUGAAUGGGGCCCUGGAAAAGACAAGGACACUGAUAUUGCCAAAUAAAUGAGCUGAAUAGCACAUGGAAACUAUAAGUGGUGACUUGUUAAAAGUCAAGUCGAAAGGAAUGGAGGACACAGUCUUUGGGAUGUUAGAGCUGUAACUGAGCAGGACCAUACAGUCAGAAG